rnacentral:rRNA from 1 species
GAAGGCUUCGGGUUGUAAAGCUCUUUCGCAAGGGAAGAAAACUUAUGAUCGAAUAAAUCAUGAGGUUGACGGUACCUUGAUAAGAAGCACCGGCUAACUACGUGCCAGCAGCCGCGGUAAUACGUAGGGUGCGAGCGUUAAUCGGAAUUACUGGGCGUAAAGCGUGCGCAGGCGGUUUUGUAAGUCGGAUGUGAAAUCCCCGGGCUCAACCUGGGAACUGCGUUCGAAACUGCAAGGCUAGAGUGUGUCAGAGGGGGGUAGAAUUCCACGUGUAGCAGUGAAAUGCGUAGAGAUGUGGAGGAAUACCAAUGGCGAAGGCAGCCCCCUGGGAUAACACUGACGCUCAUGCACGAAAGCGUGGGGAGCAAACAGGAUUAGAUACCCUGGUAGUCCACGCCCUAAACGAUGUCAACUAGUUGUUGG